rnacentral:rRNA from 1 species
UAAAGCUCUGACCUUACGGAACGAGCGCAUUUAUUAGAACAAAACCAAUCGGGUUUCGGCCCGUUCGUUGGUGACUCUGAAUAACUCUGCCGAUCGCACGGUCUCGCACCGGCGACGUAUCUUUCAAGUGUCUGCCUUAUCAACUUUCGAUGGUAGUUUAUGUGCCUACCAUGGUUGUAACGGGUAACGGAGAAUAAGGGUUUGACUCCGGAGAGGGAGCCUGAGAAACGGCUACCACAUCCAAGGAAGGCAGCAGGCGCGCAAAUUACCCACUCUCGGCACGAGGAGGUAGUGACGAAAAAUAACGAGACGGAUCUCUUUGAGGCCCGUUAUCGGAAUGAGAACAAUUCAAAUCCUUUAACGAGGAUCUAGCGGAGGGCAAGUCUGGUGCCAGCAGCCGCGGUAAUUCCAGCUCCGCAGGUGUAUAUCUAUGCUGCUGCGGUUAAAAAGCUCGUAGUUGGAUCUGCGUGCUCGGAACUGGUUGGCUCACUGAGUUCAAACUGGUCUCCGGCGCUUUAUUGGCUGGUUUUCCCUUGAUGCUCUUAACCGGGUGUCUUGGGUGGCUAGCACGUUUACUUUGAAAAAAUUAGAGUGCUCAAUACAGGCGUAAAGCCUUGAAUAGUGGUGCAUGGAAUAAUAGAAUAGGACCUCGGCUCUAUUUUGUUGGUUUUCGGAACGCGAGGUAAUGAUUAAGAGGGACAGACGGGGGCAUUCGUAUUGCGACGUUAGAGGUGAAAUUCUUGGAUCGUCGCAAGACGGACGACUGCGAAAGCAUUUGCCAAGAAUGUUUUCAUUAAUCAAGAACGAAAGUUAGAGGUUCGAAGGCGAUCAGAUACCGCCCUAGUUCUAACCGUAAACGAUGCCAACUAGCGAUUCGCAGGCGUUAAACAACGACCUUGCGGGCAGCUUCCCGGAAACGAAAGUGUUCGGGUUCCGGGGGAAGUAUGGUUGCAAAGCUGAAACUUAAAGGAAUUGACGGAAGGGCACCACCAGGAGUGGAGCCUGCGGCUUAAUUUGACCCAACACGGGAAAACUCACCCGGCCCGGACACCGUAAGGAUUGACAGAUUGAGAGCUCUUUCUUGAUUCGGUGGGUGGUGGUGCAUGGCCGUUCUUAGUUGGUGGAGCGAUUUGUCUGGUUUAUUC